GAUGAACGCUGGCGGCGUGCUUAACACAUGCAAGUCGAACGGGAUCCAAGGGGUGCUUGCACUUUUUGGUGAGAGUGGCGAACGGGUGAGUAACACGUGAGUAACCUGUCCUUUUCUUUGGGAUAAGCAUUCGAAAGGGUGUUUAAUACCUUAUGUUCUGUCUGCCUCGCAUGGGGUGGGUGGGAAAGGCUUUGGCCGGAUUUGGGUGGGCUCGCGGUCUAUCAGCUUGUUGGUGGGGUGAUGGCUUACCAAGGCUUUGACGGGUAGCCGGCCUGAGAGGGUGGUCGGUCACAUUGGGACUGAGAUACGGCCCAGACUCCUGCGGGAGGCAGCAGUGGGGGAUAGUGCACAAUGGGCGAAAGCCUGAUGCAGCGACGCCGCGUGGGGGAUGAAGGCCUUCGGGGUGUAAACUUCUUUUGCUCUGAACAAGGCAUGCCAGUGGGUGUGUUGAGUGUAGGGGUUGAUUAGCGCCGGCUAACUACGUG
rnacentral:rRNA from 1 species